rnacentral:rRNA from 1 species
UACGAGAGGCCCAAACGUUAUUCGGAUUUACUGGGCUUAAAGAGUUCGUAGGCGGCGCAGAAAGUAGGGUGUGAAAGCCCUCGGCUCAACCGAGGAAUUGCGCUCUAAACUACUGUGCUUGAGGAAGCUAGAGGUGAGCGGAACUGAUGGUGGAGCGGUGAAAUGCGUUGAUAUCAUCAGGAACACCGGAGGCGAAGGCGGCUCACUGGGGCUUAUCUGACGCUGAGGAACGAAAGCCAGGGGAGCGAACGGG